GGAGGCGUGGCUGAGAGGAUGAAGGCACCUGUCUUGAAAACCGGAAUAUCCGCAAGGGUAUCGAAGGUUCGAAUCCUUCCGCCUCCGCCA
rnacentral:tRNA from 1 species